UGGCGGACGGGUGAGUAAUGUCUGGGAAACUGCCCGAUGGAGGGGGAUAACUACUGGAAACGGUAGCUAAUACCGCAUAACGUCGCAAGACCAAAGAGGGGGACCCUCGGGCCUCUUGCCAUCGGAUGUGCCCAGAUGGGAUUAGCUAGUAGGUGGGGUAACGGCUCACCUAGGCGACGAUCCCUAGCUGGUCUGAGAGGAUGACCAGCCACACUGGAACUGAGACACGGCCCAG
rnacentral:rRNA from 1 species